rnacentral:lncRNA from 1 species
CCGCCCCAGCCCAACUGGAACACCCCAAUACCCGGCCGUUUCUCCACAGCUCUUCUUUAUCCAUACACUGACAAACCCAACAAUAAUAUUGAUGAAACAAGGCAGCAAUAUCAACACAGAACAACGCCCAAAUCACCAGAUAAUGAAAAAUCUGGUGGUUUUCAUUUCUUUCCUCGUCGGUCCUUUGUCGUCACCCAUGUUUUCAUUGCCGUCUCCAUCAAUAUCGCCUCAAUUCUUUCUCUUCCUAGUUUUUCUGACAAAUGCAGACCAAAAAGGGACUCGUUUUCUCCACUGUAGGCUUCUGAAAAGGGAGGUAUAGGGGAAUUCAAUGGUCUUUGAAGUAUUGUCUCUUUGAUUCAGCAGUCCAGUAGUUGUUCACCUUGAAGAACUCAAAUCGUCAAAUUCAAAGUCUCAAUCCUUCAAAUUUCUUCUGAAAAGAUGAUUUCCUCCUCCCCAAUACUCUCAAUCAUCACUCAAAAUUGAAUUUUGGAAAAUCUUCUUGGAGAAGCCGUUGCAACCUACCCUUUGCCUAUAAAAAAGGUCUUAUUCACUCCUUCGGGAUGGGGAAAAGUGAUAGAGAAAUUGAAUUUUUUUUUGAGUUUUAUCAUACUCUCCGAUUCACUAAGUUCUCUAUUUUCUUUACCUUAUUUUUUCGAUGAUCAUUAUUAAUCUCUCAUUCUGUCCAUAUCGCUCACUUCUCUAAGAGGUGAAACGACUAAUUGAGCUCGUCGUCCUAGUUCCUGCAUCGCAGAAGGUGAAUCCUCCUCCUUCAAAAUUCUUAUUUAUGAAGCUUUGGUCAUUUAAGCAAUUUAUGUUUGAUGAAUUUUUAAAUGUAUCUGUACCAUAAAUUUUAUGUUUGCAACAAAAUUGGCAUGGCGGCUCAUGUUUAGCGUGAAAUUUGACUCCUUUAAACUCCUGACUUGGUAAUAAACGUGUGCUUAUUGUUGCCCCCUUUCUAUCUCGACAUAUUAGUUUUAAUACCAUGAAUUUGGCCUGCUUUCACGUGUUUUCUGGCUACCAACUUUGAUGACCACAACUUUUAGUCAUGUUAGUCCUUUUAUAUUUGAGCUGACAUGGUUAUCACCUUAAUAGCAUGGGUUAAGAUGUAUCCGUGGCAAAAUGGUUGAUUUUUUUCCCAUCAAAGUGUAUAAAUUAGUUGAAGUUCUCAGCCAUAUUGUUUGCACAAAAAUCAGUAUGUUUUCUUUUCUCUUUUGUGGCUGCUCAAAGUUCCUUCCUGGAAUAACCAUGGGAGACAUGAUUUGUGAUCGUUCAGUCUUAAAAGAACUAGACGUUGCUGCCAAAAACUCUGCCCUUCUAUUCCUUUGUUAUGCAUAGAAUACUGACCUCAUCUAUGUUAAUAGGUAUAAAUAGUUAUAUUUGAUUUUUUAGUUUGGUGGUUUAGCUUUCAAACAGUCAUUUUUUUAGUGUGUGUAGCUUUGACUAGCUCAAUUGAUGAACUGCUAGUGUUAAAUUUGAUUUACAAUCAUCUUAAUGUAUCUAAUAAUCAGUAACUUAAUUUGUUAUAUGCCAUGUUUAAAAGGAAAUAUGUGAAUGAGCUUAGUAUGAUCAUAUUUUCUUUCCUUAAGAGUCAUUCUGUGAAGUAGCUAGCAAGUUGCACAACAAUUGAAUAAUUCCCCUUUUAUAGUGUGAUUGAAUGUGUGGUAAUUCUCUUUGAAUAUUUUUCAGUUGAACUCCUUUCUUCUUAUGUUUAUGCAUGAACUCCCUCAUCGACUCCAUUGGACUCCCAUCUCUCGCAUUCCGUUGAGUUAAUACCAACCUCCAUCAAGUCAAGCCUCAUUAAACUCCAAAAAAUGGACUGAUAUACGCAGGACAACACUGUCACACAAACUGGUAUACGCUUGUAUACAAUGGAUAUACAGUGGGAAGCAACAACUACACACCCUUAUAUGGUGUACAAAAAAAUGAAAACAAACAUGUUGAUUUCUACACUGAUAUACAACAUAUACGAAGUGAUAUAGAGAAAAACGCAGGAAAAGGAGUUGUCGAUAUAGAGGGGCGAAAAUUGACUGAAAGUUCAUGGAAUUUGUCCAAAAGCCAAAGGGCCCAAUCGGAACUCUUCUCUAUUUAUUUCCCAGGCUAACUUGUUUAUUUGUAUUUACUUAACACUUUAAUUAUUAAUCUAGAAAUAAUAGUAUUUUUAAAUAUAAAUAAAUAGAAAUAAUCUCUUGAAUCAAAGUUAAUAUUUUUACAACAUGACUUUUUUGCAAAGUUAGCCAUCUUUUGAGUUAGUCAAAAUAUUUUGGUCAACCAUUUAAAAUGGACAUUCCUAAGUGCCUUAAAAUUUUUCUUAGGACAUUAAUUGAAUCCUUACCUAUUUUUUUUUUUAAUUUUAAAGGUUUAGUUCUAUUUUUAAAACUUGGAAUUCUUUAAGUUUUCUUAUUUUUUCUAUAAUAAUUAAGUGGUGAUUCUGUAAAUUUUCUUGAGUUAUUUCAAAAAAAAAUUUAAGUUUUGAAAUGAUUUGAGAAGUCAAAAACUAUUUUCUUUUAAAUAAUUUAUCUUCCCUUUGAUAAAUCUGAAGAGGGAUAAAAUAAUGUGUACAUGAGGUCUAGUGUUGAAGUAGAAAAAUUUUGGCUAUGUUAUUAGCUGAGUAGCAACCUUAAGUUUAUAAGGGUAAAUGAUAUCCAAGUUAGUAUGUUUUAGGUGAGGUUUUAAAUAUAAGUGCAACGUGUAUUUAGUUAGUAUUCUUAAUUUGUUUCGUAUGGAGGAGGCUAGGUAGUUAUUAUUAAACAUUCUUUAAAAUUAGAUUUAUAGAAUUAUAGAUAUUGAUAGACGAUGUUGAACCUCUUGGUAUAGAUUUAAAUUCCUUUGAAUUGACAAGAUAUGAGAUUAGUGGGAUACUGUUAGUAGACUAAGAAAAGGAGACUAGAUUAUUAAGUGUUACAGAAAGUGAAAAUUGACUUUGAAAAUUUUAUUAGAAGACAAUGACUUUGAAAAUUUUAGUUAGAAGACAAUGACUUUGAAGGCUAGAGAAAGUUAAGAUUAGUGUCCCUGAUAGGAAUAUCCUAAAAAGAAGUUAGUACCUUUCCCAUAUGGUUUAUCAGCGCGAGUCUAGUAUAUAGUGAUGCUUCCAUUGUGUUGAGUGUUGUGCUUAUAGAUUUAAGGAGAGGAUAUAUCCACAAGUUUAGGAUAGUGACCUUUGAGCUAAGGUGGAGAUGAUGAACUAAGGUUGAUCUUGUAUUUCCUCAUGGUGGCUAGUUACGGAAAAGAGUCAUGAUAAAUCUAUUCUUAUUCUAGAAAAUUCCUCCUACUUUGGUUUAAAAGGACAUUCUAUCAAUAUCUUAUGUAUUCAAAUAGUGCCUAUGCCUAAGGUCCGAGUUCUCUAUGCGCCUUAUGUCCAUGCUUCGACCCGUGAACUAGCAGUACUAGUAUCUCUCAACCAUCCAAGUCUUCUAGUAUUCAAGUUCUAUGCUGUGACGUUCGUGAUCCAUAGACUCCUGUUUCAUUUUAUGCUUAGUUCUAUUAAACUAUACUUUUUGUAUAUUAUCAAUGUAUUUAAUAUCAUGUUUAGAUCAAAGCGCUAUCUAUAUAAACUUAUGACAAUUCUCGCUUCUUAAAAUGAGCAAUAGUCCUUGUCUUAUUCCUUAAAUAUAUGAAUACCAACUUUAUGUUAUACAACUCAUGAUAUAUACACUCAUAUUUCUCACUGUACCCAGUCAUAAGAACUUAUGCUAUGUUAUGUUUAUGCCCGAACGACCCUCUAUUUACAAUAUGAGUGUUUGAUAUAUGAAUCUCUUCAUGUUUAUGGUAUCGUAUCUUACAUUACAGGCGCCUCACCUUGAGUAAUGCAACAAAUAUAAGUUAUAAUGGAAUAGUAUCACUCCCAUUCCAGAUACUUGUACUCUAGUGCCUUAAUGACCUACCUUAUGUUAGGAUGAUAGUUGGUAUGGAAGCAUAGUAAUAUUUUAGAUAAGAGAUAGAUGUUCUUUAUUUUGAAAAUUAUAGUGUGACUGCUNNNNNNNNNNNNNNNNNNNNNNNNAGAGUGAAAUAAACUUUUGUGAAAUAGUUAGGAAAGAAAUAUGUAGCACAAAUCUUUGGGGACGUGAUUGAAUUUACUGGUUUUGGGUGGAGAGAUCCAUAAAAUGGGUGUAGUAAAGAUAGGUUUGAAUGAUGUGAUUUCUGGAUACACAAAUCAUUGUGUUAUUUUGCUACUAUUCCUUGAUUAAGACCUGAGGUUGUUUGAUUAUAGUGAUAAGGUGGAGUAGUAUUUUUGAAGGGAUGUAGAGUAUAGGGUCUCAUAGCUUAAGCUAGCACCUUUUAACUCCAGGUUAAGCUUCAACAUGAAAGCACUGUACAGUGAGACUCAGGCUCAUACAGUUAUGUGUUUUGCAGGCUAAUUGUAUGUUGAAAAUGGUGAAGUGUGUUGUUUGUAGUAGAAUGCAUAGUUGAGAAGUGUCGUUAAAUUUAAGGAUUAUUGGUCGUAUCGUUUAAGGUGGAAAAUACUUCCGUUCCUAUGUCCAGCAAAAUCUUAUUUAAUGUAGAGUGUCAAUAUAAAUCAGGAACUAUGAUCACCAAAUAAAUUCAUACCUUACGUUGUUAUGAUUAUGUUCCAUAGAACUCAUGUCCAAGGUCAUUUCUAUAUCAAGUCUCAUUAUUUCAUGCUUCGUGCUUACAUGAUUCACUUGGUAUUAUCAUGAAGCUCUUUUUAUGCCUAUGUAUGUUAUGCUGAUAGGGAAUUAUGUAAAGCUACAUCCUUUAUUCCAUACUUCUAGAGCUUCAACAAGUUUCUAUCCAUCAUUCGGGGACGAAUGAUCUCAAGGAGAGAUAAUGUAACACUCCAUAUUUUUUGCUAGAAUUUGAACCGUCCUUUCUAUGUGUAUAAACCGAAACUCAAUGAUUUCUAUUUAGAUAUAAGUGUGAAUAUCAAAUCUUUAUUAAUUAUUUAGUGAGGGAACAUCUUUGAAGAUAAAUUAUGGUCAUAAAAAUUUCCUAGCUCAAAGUUGAGUUGAGAACUUUCUUACCGAUUGAGUUUUAGUUGACAUUCUUAUUUGGGACAAAUUUCAACAACUAUUAUGCCUAGAAUAUGAUGAGUUAGGUGGCCUACUAUAUACCAAAUUAAAGGUAUUUGAGUUUUCUUUCCAACGCAACUUAUCGUUUAUUAAUUUGAAUUUGAAAAAAAAGUUAUGAGCAUUUAAGUGAGACACUGUCCGAGGUGCGCGAUUGGCCGUGUGAGGCACGGCUACUUCUGCGCGAUUAGGCCUGCGCCCCCUUUACCCGAUGUAAAAAUAUGUUUUCUCUUAAUAAAUCAAGGGCAAACUGGUCAUUUUACCUUAUGUAACACACCUAACCCAUUUUAUAACCCUAAAGUCAUGCUAAACUAGUAGAAUUCUCCCAAAUUCCUCGUUCUCUUCCUCCCAAGAACAUCAAGAAGAAUUUUCCAAUUUCAAUGCUUGUAGGUUCCAAUCUCAAGGUUGUUCUUCAAUUUUCCUCCAUAGAAAAGGCAUGUAGAACGAUCUUGACACUCAUGAUCUUGAAAAUUAUAUUUUACAAUACUCUAAAUUGUAUAUGUAUACAUAUGAUAUGGGUUUUGAAAUUGAUUGAAGAUCUUGAACUAUGAACCCAUCCUGAUGUUAAGAGUUAUGUAUUUCAAAAUUGUUGUGGGUUACUGAAUGAAUAAUGAGAAGAUUGAUGUUUCGAAUGCUUCUUUUAUCAAAUAUGCAUUGUUUAUUUAUGCAAUUUUGGAGAGUAUCUUUUGUUCUUUAAAUGCUCCUAUUUUCAGAUGAGAAGUAUAUGAAUUAUGAAAGAGAUGACCACCUAAGAGUUAAGUCUUGAAAGGAGAAAUAUUUUUUUUGCUUAAAUUUGAUAUCUAUUUCGAAAUAAGAACUUUUGUUUGAUAUUUGAAUUAUUAUGAUGGUCAAUGAUAUAUAUUUUUGAAAAAAAGGCUAUGGGAUGAUAUAAUAUGAUUUAUAGGGCUUGCAAGUCUAGGUUGACGAUACCUUCUAGAGUAUGCCUUUAAAAAGAAAGAGAUGAAUUUUUAUAAGAAUGAGAAUGAUUUUAAGAGACUAAAAAUAGUCUUAAAGAGAGUCAGAUAGGUAACAGAUAAGGCACGUGUCAAAAGACUCAUUGCUUGAAAUUGUAUUUUACCGACACAGAAUGUUGUCCUGAAAUAGAGAUAAUUAUGGUAUAAUUGUUGUGUGAUCUUGUAUACUAGUAUGUAGACGUCUCAAUCCUUGCAACAAACUUGGAUUGGAGAAUUGGCCGAUGAGCUAAUGUCGGACCCAUAUAGUCUGUGGGUAAUAUGUAUUGGGAUACUAUCUAGCUCAGAAUUAAAGAAAAGAGUUGAAUCUAUGUUUUUACGAGAUUGAUUGAAGUUUUUAAUUAUGGCUAUGUGUUUUGGUUUUGAUUUUGUUAAAUUCUU